AACGUGGGAUGCCGUUCUUCAAUAACCUUCGAGUUCCCUGGACU
rnacentral:sRNA from 1 species